UGUGUCUGUUUUUAUCUCACUUACGGGCAGGUCCAAAAAAUAAAUCCACUUUUGUAACCCAGAGCUCACUGCUCAGUAUGAGUUUUGAUACAUACAAGAAGGAACAGU
ensembl:snoRNA